rnacentral:lncRNA from 1 species
UCCAGAUCAAUUUUGAUCCAAGCUAUUCAAAAAGAACACGAGUUGAUAAGAAUUAUACUUCAAUGUAUUUAAGCUCAAGUCAAUUUGCAAUCAACUCAAUUUUAACCAAAAUAAAUUAUUUCAUAAACAAGAGAAAAGACUAUUUCACGAAUUUGAGAAAACCAAAUUUCUUCUUCUACCUUCCCUACAAAUUAACCAUGACCAAGAUAACAUUUUUGUUGUUGUUGGUGGUGAUAUAACCAAGAUAGCAUUUUAGUAGCUCUAUCAACUAUCUCCGACACAUUUACCACAUUUCCAUCCACCGUUUAUUUUAAGUGAGAUACAAUUAAUACCAACCAUUCACUAAUUAAGAAUGAUAAAUGUACAAAACGAGGUUCGCAAGCUUGCCUCUUAUAUCUGCUCUGUUUCAACCUCCUUUAUUCUUGGAAACUUUUUUUUUGAAAGAUUAUUCUUGGAAACUUCUUAUGUAUAUAAUGAUGAUAUAUGCAUGAAAGCUCGUCGUUUAUACAGGUAAUCAUCGAUAAAAUUGACGUCCAUGAAAUAUUUAAUUUAUUAGGAUAAAUUUUCAAUAAAUUUUGCGAAAGUUUAAUUGUUACUCCCUCUAUUACUAUUGAUUAUAAACAAAAUUAACUUUUUAGAUUCAUUCGAUCAAUUAAUUAUGCAUGUGAUCCAUAUUAUAAACUACAUACAUCAUUAAUUAAAUAAACUUAAAAAAUAAAAUUUGCUUAUAAUUAAAACAGCAGGAGUAUUAAUUAGUGCUAGUUGUAUAAGUUACCUCUGAAUCAAAUGAAGUAAAGAUAAGAACAACACAGUAGGAACCACAUUUAAGCAAAAUAAAUCCUUCCGAAUGAAGCAGAAACCAUCGAACAAAAUCAGAAAGCAACGACCACAUUAUAAAAACCAAAAUACAUUGACCUCUUAAGAGUUUAAAGACUUAAAACAAAACAUAAAAUACUUCUUCAAACAUCUUUCUUGAUGAAAACACUGGUCAGGACAGUCUUGGAUUGCAAAGAAGCUUUAAGUAACUUGAUGCCCUGUAAUAAAAAUAAAAACCAAUGCAAUGUGAGUAUUAAAAAAAAAUUAAUGACAUAUUUAACAAAUAUAAAUAUCAAAUAACAAUAUACUUUACCUCAUCCAUUCCCAUCUCAACAACCUUUUCCUGCAACGCACCAACCUCCUUGAUAUUGAAUUUGUUCAGCAAAGUAAUGCUUGAUAUUGUUGACAUUGGCUGAACGACUAAAUCAUCCAUCACCAUAAAUGUCACAACAUCUUUCACAAAACCAUUCGCAGUCGAAAUGUUCUUUCGGACAGCCUUCUUUCCAAUAUAAUCCAUUUGAUAGGCCAUAACUUGACUGCAAUUAAUACAACGAGUUGAGCUAUCACAUGUGACAUAAGCACACCUGUUUAAGCAUCUAUAGUACAAAGUUACUUCAUCUCCUACGAUGUUAUUGGCAUCUGCAUCAUUUGCGGGAAGAAAGCCAGCAAUUCCAGCAGAAGAGACAGGAGCUAUUGGGUUCAAGAGUUCCUCCUUAGUUUGGUUUUGUUCCAUAUAAUUAUCAGACAGAGUUUCAACACUAUGAUAGAGGUUACCUAUGCUACCAACCAUGCCAUUUUUGGUCAGUAGUUUAACUACUGUACCGACAGGCAAGCGAAGCAAGUUAAAGAGAAAAUCUAUCACAGCUUUGGAAGCUUCAGCGAACAGAACUUUGUCAUUUUUAGUGUCAAUGAGAAGUUUGAGGGUCACUUUGUUGGGAGAAGAAGAAGUUGAAGAAGCCAUGUUGAAAGGAUAACAAACCGAGAUGCUGUAUUGUUGAUUUAUAUAGGCCGAUUCUAAGGAAUAAUGUGGUAUAAAGGCAUAUUGCAGUACUAUUUAUUAGGCUUAUUGAUGUGUUUAGCCCUUGCAAUUAGGCGGUAUUUAAAAAUUCGUCCCUGUAAUUGCUAAUCCUGGCAUUUUAACCCUGUAAUUGUUAAUCGUUUAAAAUUUCGUCCCUCUCCCCACUUAAUCACUGCCACGCCACAUGAAAUUCCAAAUUUACCCCUGGGUUUCCAAUUCUUUCUUCAAUAUUUUGUCCUCUUCUUAAGGGCAAAAUUGAAAUUUCAUGUGUGACAGUGAUUGCCACGUCAUCAAAUUAGUGACGUGGCAGUGAUUAAUUUGGUCCAAGGACCAAAUUUUAAACGAUUAACAAUUGCAGGGUUAAAAUGCCAGGAUUAACAAUUACAGGGACGAAUUUUUAAAUGCCGCCUAAUUGCAAGGGCUAAACACAUCAAUAAGCCCUAUUUAUUAUUAAGAGCUUAGGAAUGUGGCAACUGUGAAUUCCCAUGUCAAUGUAUUCAAUCGAGAUUUCAGUCAAACAGUUUUUUGAGCUUACAAACAAUAACCAAUUUCAGGCAAACCAUGCAGGAGCGUGGUUGUGGCUGUGGACUGGUGUAAAUGACUAAUCUACUUCCCACGCAUUAAAAAUUACUUAGUGUUUCCAAAGUGUGUGAAUCUUAAAAAAUAAAAAGAGUCUAUUUUUAAAUGUACAAUUAAUUUAUAAGAAAUUAUUCGUCCAGUGUAAAUAAAAGAGUCAUUGAAAAAUAAAAGACUUUAUUCUAUGGUCUUAGCCUCUUGGGCAAAAAAAAUAAAAAAUACAAGACUAUACUAUGUGAAUUCAAUUGAGUAAUGAUUCUCCUUAGAGUUAGAUAUUUGGAUGAUGUAAUUGAAUUUUUUAAAUAAUUUAGAAUUUUAAGCAAUUCAAAUAACUCAAUUAAAUUACAUUCAUUUUUAGAUAUUUUUGUUUGGAUGAACUAAUAAAAAAAAUUCUAUUGUCAAUAUUUUUGGACUACUUUUAUAAAUUUUAUUUUUUGGGGCUAAAUUUGAAAAUUGAAAAUAGGGGUCAAUUUGCAAAUUUCAAUUUUUUUUGAGAGCUCAAUUUAUAAUUUUUGACAAAAUUAUCCAUUUGGGGUUGGUCUAGUGGUUGACUUGGGAUCUUGGAGUUUGCUCAUCUCAAUGUCUCAGGUUCGAUUAUCUCUAGUGCCAAUUCCGGUGGGCAAAUCCAAGCUUUGCUCUGGCUUUUAAAUGGAGCCACUGCAAGUGGACGGUGGGAUUGGUCCCCUCAUAUUAGUCGGUUCUUGGAUCGGAUACUGAGUUUUUAAAAAUUUGAAAAAAUUGAAGGGUAAAUUUGUAAUUUCCAAAAUAGGGGUCAAAUUGCAAUUUUUUGGAAAUUAAAAUAGGGGUUAAAUUGAAAUUUUUUGGUAAUUUAUUGGGGUCAUUUUGAAAAUUUUGGAAAAAAUGAUUACUAAAAGGCAAAACUUGGAAAAUUUUAACAAUGAAGAAAUUUAAAAUUCUUAACUUUUAGACGUCAUUUGAAAUUCUCAAACUUUAACUUGAACAAAAUACUUCAUAAAUUUCCAUCAUUUUAAAAAUUCUUCAAAUUAUCAUCCAAACAAUAAAAUUUACCUAAAAAUAUUUGAAUUCCCUCAAAACAUUUCUCCAUCCAAACAACAAAGUCUUUAUACAAGUGAAUGAUUAUACCAUAAGCUAAGCCUAUCAUAGAGUAUAAUUGCUUGCACAACAAGUAACAACUUUCCUAACUAACUUCGUAAAAAGUCGGAGCUAUACCAUUGUCUCCAACUUCCUUUAAAUAACUUUUAACUAUGUCUGUAGUCUCCUCAAUAGAUGAAGUUGAAUCAUCUUCACUUACUAUCUCAUUAAUAUCCCCUCGCAAGUUGGAACUUGGAAGAUGUUGACCACGCCCAACUUGGGCAAGAGAAAAAGGCACAUGUAACUGUGAAUUAGUGAAAAAGACUACUAGAGGAUUGUGGGAGGAAACUGAUAGCAACUUCAUAACAAUAUCAACUUGAAGUUUCUCACAUACUAGAUGACAAUUUAUCUCUAAGUGUUUGGUCCUUCCAUGAAAACAUGAUUAACAAAUAACAACUAUGUUUUGUGCACUCUGAUUAUCACGAUAUAGAAUUGGAGGACGAAAGCAUGUGACUUGCAAGUCACGAAAGAGAUACAAGAGCCAUUGAACUCACAUCACAACUCACAAUUGGAGGAUGAAAGCAUGUGACUUCAAACAAUGAUUUAAAGACGGUAUUUUGUUGUUUCUUGGUUCUCCAUAAAAUGAGAGAAGAGCCAAUGAAAAAGCAUUAGUCUAAAAUUGAUCUUCUAGAAUCAAUAAACCCAAUCCAUUGAACCAAGCAACUGCAUUGAAAAAUCUCUUGGGAAGAAUGCGCCAAAGCCAUGACAAUGCUUAAGAUAUUUAAGAACUCUGCAAAUAGCAUUGUAAUGAACAUUGGUCGGUUAUGAAAGGAAUUGACUAAGUCAUUGGGCGAUGAAGGUGAAAUUUGACCGUGUAAUGUUGAGACAGAGUAGGCGCCCAACGAGUCUUUUGUAAUAUGGAAUGUCAUAAAAAAAUUUAGUAUCAUUAUAAUGCAGCUUUAUAAAAAGAUCAUAAAGUGUAGAUAUAGGUUUUGAACCAAGCAAUCUAGAGUCAACAAGCAAAUCUAAGGACUACUUUCUUUUGCGGUGUAGCUACUUCCAAACCAAUUAAGUACUUGAUGGUUCCAUUCCAAGGUCCUUAUUUUGAAGGAAUUGUUCAACACAUAUUUUAUAUGUUGAAAUUCAUGCAAAGAAUCACCUGCCAACAUAAGUAAAAAAAGAGUGAAUGAUGAAAAAUUUUCCCUUACAAAGAGGUAAUGGUUUGAAUCACCCUAUUUAUAAGCAUGGUGAAUCAAUAUAGAUAUCAAUUUAUCAUACCAUUUCCAUCUUCAUGUAAUUCACCAUGCAAAAUUGCAAAAUUUACAUCAAGCUUUUGUUGAUAGAUGUUAGAGCUAUUACAAGCCUAAAUAUGGUGAUUUUAGCAACCAGUGAAUAUGUGUAAGAGUAAUCUAACCCUUCUAUCUGAUUGUAACUUUUAGCAACUAGUAUGGCUUUAGAUCUUUCUAUACGGCCAUUUCCUCUAUGUUUGAUCUUAUAAACUCAUCUUCAUCCUAUUGGUUUGACUUCAGAUGGAAGAUCAACAAGUUGUCAAGUACCAAUUUUAUCAAGAGUAGCAAGUUGAGCUUGCAUUGCCUGAGUCCAAUAAUCAAACUUUAUUGCCAUAACAUAAGAUUUAUUUCCAAUGUGUGUAUUGAGAUACUAAAAUGACAGCGAGAAUAGGACAAAAUUGGAAUACAAAAUAAAUUUGAAAAUGAUAUAUGGAGUACAUUACCAAGAUGAUUUGGUGCAUCAUGAAAUGAAGCACAAAUGAAACCUUGAUAAUUUGUGUGAUUGAUGAGGUGUUAAUGUUGGUAAGACAUGGUUAUCUUCACUUAAAUUAUGAUUAUAAGUUGAUGAGGUGUUUUUGUUGGUAAGACUUGAUUAUCUUCACUUAAUUAUUACAAUUAUAAGUUGAAGAAAUGGGAACAACUGAUGGAGAACCAGCUAUAGUUUUGGGAACCGAGAGCGUUGACAACGUUGCUGGAUUAUCUUACACGGAUGCAGACUCUGACUUAUAAUGCAAGUCUCUGAAAUAUUUCCAAUUAUGAGUAGGAGAUGAAAUUUAAACCUGAUAUGGUAAAAUGUGCUCAUCAAAAGUAACAUUUAUAUAAAUGAAAAUAUAUUAGAGAAUGGAGAUCUAGAAGAAAUGAGUCCUUAAAACAAACAAAAUAUCCUAAUAAGAUGGAUUUCCUUGCUCUUUAUGUGGUUUUGUAAUACAAGUUUGGAGGGAAGGGAAGUGGAAAGCUUUGGAUAAAAGGAACGAGGAAAGAGAAAUAGAAGAAAGGGUAGUCCCAAGGGGGGUUCGCAUUGCAGUUUGAAUCGAUUUUGAGACAUAAACUCAUCGUAGCCAAAGAUAAAAUUAUAAGUGGUUCGAUUUUGGAUGACAAAUUUUAAAAAUGUCUUCUGAUCUAAUUUAAUGUGGUUUAUUUUGGAUAUCCGAGUUACAAAUUGUAAUUUUUCUAUAUUAAUAUUAAUACUAUGAAGACACAUUAAA